GAUGAAGAACGCAGCGAAAUGCGAUAAGUAAUGUGAAUUGCAGAAUUCAGUGAAUCAUCGAAUCUUUGAACGCAACUUGCGCUCUCUGGUAUUCCGGAGAGCAUGCCUGUUUGAGUGUCAUGAAAUCUCAACCAUUAGGGUUUCUUAAUGGCUUGGAUUUGGAGGCUGCCAUUCUAAAUGGCUCCUCUUAAAGGAGUUAGCAAGUUUUACUAUUGCUAUCUGGCGUAAUAAGUUUCGCUGGAAUGGUAUUGUGAAGCGUGCUUCUAAUCGUCUUCGGACAAUUACUUUGACUCUGGCCUCAAAUCAGGUAGGACUACCCGCUGAACUUAAGCAUAUCAAAAGCGGAGGA
rnacentral:misc_RNA from 1 species